rnacentral:rRNA from 1 species
UAGGGAAUCUUCGGCAAUGGACGAAAGUCUGACCGAGCAACGCCGCGUGAGUGAAGAAGGGUUUCGGAUCGUAAAACUCUGUUGUUAGAGAAGAACAAGGACGUUAGUAACUGAACGUCCCCUGACGGUAUCUAACCAGAAAGCCACGGCUAACUACGUGCCAGCAGCCGCGGUAAUACGUAGGUGGCAAGCGUUGUCCGGAUUUAUUGGGCGUAAAGCGAGCGCAGGCGGUUUCUUAAGUCUGAUGUGAAAGCCCCCGGCUCAACCGGGGAGGGUCAUUGGAAACUGGGAGACGUGAGUGCAGAAGAGGAGAGUGGAAUUCCAUGUGUAGCGGUGAAAUGCGUAGAUAUAUGGAGGAACACCAGUGGCGAAGGCGGCUCUCGGGUCUGUAACUGACGCUGAGGCUCGAAAGCGUGGGGAGCAAACAGG